GACGAACGCUGGCGGCGUGCCUAAUACAUGCAAGUCGAACGGACAGGCGCUGCUUUUGCUUCGCUGUUGUUAGCCGCACGGGUGAGUGACACGUGUGUAAACUGCCCUUGUCUUUGGGGUAACUCCUGGGAACUGCGGCUAUUAUCCGGUAGGAUCUUCUGCUGCACGUUGUGCGAUGGAAAAAUUCGGCGGUUGGGGCUGGUUUCGCAGCUUAUCAGCUUGUUUGUGGGGUAGUUGCUUACGAGGCCUUCGACGGGUAGCCGGCCUGGGAGGGUGAACGGCGACAUUGGGACUGAGAUACGGCCCAGAAGCGUACGGGAGGCAGCAGUGGGGAACAUUGCAGAAUGAGCGGAAGUGUGAUGUAGAAACGCCGCGUGCGGGAUGACGGCCUACGGGUUGUAAACCGCUGUGGAAUGUGACGAAGCGUGAGUGACGGUAAUGGGUAAAGAAGCACCGGCUAACUACGUG
rnacentral:rRNA from 1 species